AUGAGACCAUUGCUAGAUAGAACUGAAAGAGCUUCAGCCAGUCCGACUGCACUACCACCGGGUAGAGACAUGCAGCGGAAUACCAGCUACAAAGAACAUGUUAGCAGAUGCAUAACGAAAGGACCAUGGGAGCAAACAUGUUUAAUGGGUUUAUUUUAUUUUUCUGGGCGUUUAUAUUCUUACACUCAAGCUGUAUAUGUAUAUAGAGAGAGUUCUGUACUGCACACAGAAACGUGUGCACGUACCCAGAUCAGAAAUUAUUCGCGUUACAACCAUAUAAAAUCACAGCAAGUGUCAACAAGUCAAAGAUUUCCAGAAGAUCAGGGUGCAGUAACAAGAUCAUCUUCCUUGGACUUGGCCUUGCCACUCGCUUCCACUAUCUGUACAGGCUUCUUCUCUUCAGUGGUCAUUCCCUCUUCGAGCUCCUUCUCCUUCAGCUGCCUUAGGAUGUCUUCCUUUUCAGCAUGUAGGUCUUGUAACUUUGCGUCGAUCUUCUCCAGCUUCUUCUUAAGCUUUGCCGGAUCGUUGGUCUUCUCCUUGCCGCCCUUGUGUUUCUUCUUCUCUUUGUCUUUCUUCUUACCUUCUUCCUCCCCAUCCUCACCAUCCUUCUUUUUCUUCUUAGUUUCUUCCUUGUCGGUCUUAUCUUUCUUCUUCUCCUUCGCUUCUUUGUCCUUCUUACCUUCUUCCUUCUCAUCAUCGCCAUCCUUCUUCUUGCCUCCCCCCUUCCUGUCGGUUUUAUCUUUCUUCUUGUCCUUCUUCUCUGUAUCUUUCUUGUUACCUUGUUCGUCCUUGUCACCGAUUUCCUUAUGUUCAUCUUGCUUCUUCGCACUGUCUCUCUUUCUUUUAUCCUUUGCUUUGUCCGUGCCAUCCUUCUUCUCUUCAGAAGCAUCAGUUUCUUUCUUCGCCGACUCAUUAUCUUGUAGCUUGAUUUCUCUUGCCUGA
rnacentral:rRNA from 1 species